AUGAACGCUGGCGGCGUGCCUAAUACAUGCAAGUCGCGCGAACGGACGAGAAGCCUGCUUCUCUGAUGUUAGCGGCGGACGGGUGAGUAACACGUGGAUAACCUACCUAUAAGACUGGGAUAACUUCGGGAAACCGGAGCUAAUACCGGAUAAUAUUUUGAACCGCAUGGUUCAAAAGUGAAAGACGGUCUUGCUGUCACUUAUAGAUGGAUCCGCGCUGCAUUAGCUAGUUGGUAAGGUAACGGCUUACCAAGGCAACGAUGCAUAGCCGACCUGAGAGGGUGAUCGGCCACACUGGAACUGAGACACGGUCCAGACUCCUACGGGAGGCAGCAGUAGGGAAUCUUCCGCAAAGGGCGAAAGCCUGACGGAGCAACGCCGCGUGAGUGAUGAAGGUCUUCGGAUCGUAAAACUCUGUUAUUAGGGAAGAACAUAUGUGUAAGUAACUGUGCACAUCUUGACGGUACCUAAUCAGAAAGCCACGGCUAACUACGUG
rnacentral:rRNA from 1 species